rnacentral:misc_RNA from 1 species
AUAAUAUCUCCUUCGGGGUUCGGUCCCCCUCCCGUUAGGGCCCUCACUCCUUUCUAUAAAAAGUAUAAUAAAAUAUAUUAUAAGAAGAAUAUAUUAUAUAAUAUAAUAAUUAUAUUAAUAAUAUUAAUAAAUAAUAUAUAAAUAAUUAUAAAAAAGUAUAUAAUAUUAAUUAAUUAUUUAAUUAAUAAACCCCCCGCGGGCGCCAACCCCGUUGCUCACCGGGUUGGUCCCACGGGGGUUAAAUAAUAUAUUAAUUUUUAAUUAAUUUGAAUAAGAUAUUUAUAUUAUUAAUAGGAAAGUCAUAAAUAUAUAAAUUAUAUUAUAUAAUUAAUAUAAUAAUAAAAUAAAUUAUAUAUUUUAUUUAUAAUAUUAUUUCUUUAUAAGAUAAAUAUUAUCUAAUAAUAUUUAUAAAGAAAUAUAUAUAUAUAUAAAAAGUCAUUAUAUAAAUUUAAUUAUAAUUUAAAUAAAUUUUAUAUAAAUUAAUAUAAUAUUAAUAAAGUAAUUAGUAUAAAUAAAUAAUAUGAAAAUAAAACUUAAUAAAUAUAUAAAUAUAGUCCGGCCCGCCCCGCGGGCGGACCCCGCAGGAGUCCAUAUAUAUAUAUUAAUAAAAAAAAGUAAUAUAUAUAUAUAUAUUGGAAUAGUUAUAUUAUUAUACAGAAAUAUGCUUAAUUAUAAUAUAAUAUCCAUAUUCAUAAUUAAUUUUUUAUAUAUAUAUUAUAUUAUAAUAUUAAUUUAUAUUAUAAAAAUAAUAUUUAUUAUUAAAAUAUUUAUUCUCCUUUA